rnacentral:rRNA from 1 species
AACGAACGCUGGCGGCAUGCCUAACACAUGCAAGUCGAACGAGACCUUCGGGUCUAGUGGCGCACGGGUGCGUAACGCGUGGGAAUCUACCCUCAGGUUCGGAAUAACUCAGAGAAAUUUGAGCUAAUACCGGAUGAUGACGCAAGUCCAAAGAUUUAUCGCCUGAGGAUGAGCCCGCGUAGGAUUAGGUAGUUGGUGAGGUAAAGGCUCACCAAGCCGACGAUCCUUAGCUGGUCUGAGAGGAUGAUCAGCCACACUGGGACUGAGACACGGCCCAGACUCCUACGGGAGGCAGCAGUGGGGAAUAUUGGACAAUGGGCGAAAGCCUGAUCCAGCAAUGCCGCGUGAGUGAUGAAGGCCUUAGGGUUGUAAAGCUCUUUUACCCGGGAUGAUAAUGACAGUACCGGGAGAAUAAGCUCCGGCUAACUCCGUG